AGGGUUUGAUUCUGGCUCAGGAUGAACGCUGGCGGCGUGCUUAACACAUGCAAGUCGAACGAAGCACUUUAUUUGAUUUCUUCGGAAUGAAGAUUUUGUGACUGAGUGGCGGACGGGUGAGUAACGCGUGGGUAACCUGCCUCAUACAGGGGGAUAACAGUUGGAAACGACUGCUAAUACCGCAUAAGCGCACAGGGUCGCAUGACCUGGUGUGAAAAACUCCGGUGGUAUGAGAUGGACCCGCGUCUGAUUAGCCAGUUGGUGGGGUAACGGCCUACCAAAGCGACGAUCAGUAGCCGACCUGAGAGGGUGACCGGCCACAUUGGGACUGAGACACGGCCCAA
rnacentral:rRNA from 1 species